rnacentral:rRNA from 1 species
CGGAGGAAAAGAAACCAACCGGGAUUGCCUUAGUAACGGCGAGUGAAGCGGCAAAAGCUCAAAUUUGAAAUCUGGUACCUUCGGUGCCCGAGUUGUAAUUUGGAGAGGGCAACUUUGGGGCCGUUCCUUGUCUAUGUUCCUUGGAACAGGACGUCAUAGAGGGUGAGAAUCCCGUGUGGCGAGGAGUGCGGUUCUUUGUAAAGUGCCUUCGAAGAGUCGAGUUGUUUGGGAAUGCAGCUCUAAGUGGGUGGUAAAUUCCAUCUAAAGCUAAAUAUUGGCGAGAGACCGAUAGCGAACAAGUACAGUGAUGGAAAGAUGAAAAGAACUUUGAAAAGAGAGUGAAAAAGUACGUGAAAUUGUUGAAAGGGAAGGGCAUUUGAUCAGACAUGGUGUUUUGUGCCCUCUGCUCCUUGUGGGUAGGGGAAUCUCGCAUUUCACUGGGCCAGCAUCAGUUUUGGUGGCAGGAUAAAUCCAUAGGAAUGUAGCUUGCCUCGGUAAGUAUUAUAGCCUGUGGGAAUACUGCCAGCUGGGACUGAGGACUGCGA